UGGGGAAUAUUGCACAAUGGGCGAAAGCCUGAUGCAGCGACGCCGCGUGCGGGAUGAAGGCCUUCGGGUUGUAAACCGCUUUUGAUUGGGAGCAAGCGAGAGUGAGUGUACCUUUCGAAUAAGCACCGGCUAACUACGUGCCAGCAGCCGCGGUAAUACGUAGGGUGCAAGCGUUAUCCGGAAUUAUUGGGCGUAAAGAGCUCGUAGGCGGUUUGUCGCGUCUGGUGUGAAAGUCCAUCGCUUAACGGUGGAUCUGCGCCGGGUACGGGCAGGCUAGAGUGCGACAGGGGAGACUGGAAUUCCCGGUGUAACGGUGGAAUGUGUAGAUAUCGGGAAGAACACCAAUGGCGAAGGCAGGUCUCUGGGUCGUCACUGACGCUGAGGAGCGAAAGCGUGGGGAGCGAACAGGAUUAGAUACCCUGGUAGUCCACGCCGUAAACGGUGGAUGCUGGAUGUGGGGCCCAUUCCACGGGUUCCGUGUCGGAGC
rnacentral:rRNA from 1 species